rnacentral:rRNA from 1 species
AUUGAACGCUGGCGGCAUGCCUUACACAUGCAAGUCGAACGGUAACGGGCCUUCGGGUGCCGACGGGUGGCGAACGGGUGAGUAAUACAUCGGAACGUGCCCGAUCGUGGGGGAUAACGAGGCGAAAGCUUUGCUAAUACCGCAUACGAUCUACGGAUGAAAGCAGGGGACCGCAAGGCCUUGCGCGGACGGAGCGGCCGAUGGCAGAUUAGGUAGUUGGUGGGAUAAAAGCUUACCAAGCCGACGAUCUGUAGCUGGUCUGAGAGGAUGAUCAGCCACACUGGGACUGAGACACGGCCCAGACUCCUACGGGAGGCAGCAGUGGGGAAUUUUGGACAAUGGGCGCAAGCCUGAUCCAGCCAUGCCGCGUGCAGGAUGAAGGCCUUCGGGUUGUAAACUGCUUUUGUACGGAACGAAAAGCCUUCUUUUAAUACAGGAGGGUCAUGACGGUACCGUAAGAAUAAGCACCGGCUAACUAC